UGCUUGGCCAAAAUAGAACUUUCUGGCUGGUGUCCGUGCUCAGAAGAGAUCACAACCACUGUGCUGCCAAACGUGAGGAUGGCUGAACGUGAACAGGGACUGAUGGAAGGUGUUGGGAGCAACCACGACAGCAGCGGGCAUUAGAAAGACUGAAUGCUUCAUUCCCUCCUGUGAAACUGUGAGGAAUUUAACCCCAAAAGAUGGUGGUAAAACAAGGAGCUGCCAUAGGCAUCCAUGGCGCUUCCCCAAUUAGCAAUCUCCUCCAGCACUUACCCUGCAGUCAAAUCCAAGAACAUCUGUUUAAACCCACACUGGAUAGCUGCCAGAUUAGUGGAAAGGAUAUGGUAUAAAGAAGACUUUUGUUUCCUCAGAGCAAGGAGAAAAAAUAAGUUACAAG